CUUUGAAGUAGAGGUCGCGGUUUUUAUUACCCCUGUGGAGUCAAGCAAGACGGUGAAACAGGUCUAGGAAAAAUCGCCGAAACCUUCUUUUGUUGCUUAAAAAGAAGCGUUGGGGUGCAAGCGAAUAGUUUGCACACUGUCUUAGUUAAACUAAGGUGAGCUAUGUUUAGU
rnacentral:ncRNA from 2 species